UAGAAGGGAUGGUGGAUCAAGCAACCAGUUUGUGCAAGAUUUUGUGAUGGUGCUGUGUUGUUUAUACUUUUUGGGAUAGUACCGGUUGUCUUUUUGGUAAAAACCCUAAAUCAUAGUAUUUUAAUUCCUGCAAAGACCACGUUUUAGUAGGAGAAGAACCCAACACUGAUGAUUCCUUUCCUAAAGUUAAGAAUGAGAACGACCCUUUUGCGAAAUUGAAACAUUCUCGAGUUGCAAGUCUCACAGAUCGAUAAAUUUCUUUUGAAACGGAAGAAGAUGAAAGGUUCCUUUACUUUCAGCAAGCUAUUGUUGAUAAGCCCACACGACUCAGUACGAGGCUCAUCACAAUCUUCCCCGUUAUGCCUGAUCGAUCCAAAAAAGAAUUGGAAGUAAUUUUCUGCGACUUCCUUGAGGAGCCUAUUUUUAAACCCGACAUUGAAAGCUGGCCUAUGAUGGCUGAAUCUCGCUUGUCAUCUGAGCCUGCUUCACUUACUUAGUGGGAAAGACUUUUGUGGUUGUUCUUAGUAUUCCUCCUCUUUAGGAACAAUUUAUUGUUUGUGUUAAUUUUAUUUUUCCUUUGUUGGUUAGAACCCUCCUGAUGUGUGUGUGAAUUUUAAAUUGGUAAUGAAUGAGGAGACUGUUUGAACAA